GGGCAGACAGUUCAGUUAUUAGAGCACGAGACUCUUAAUCUCAGGGUUGUGGGUUUGAGCCCCACGUUGGGCA